UACGGGGGGAGCAAGCGUUGUUCGGAUUUACUGGGCGUAAAGGGCGCGUAGGCGGCGCAACAAGUCACUUGUGAAAUCUCCGGGCUUAACCCGGAGCGGCCAAGUGAUACUGUCGUGCUAGAGUGCGGAAGGGGCUACUGGAAUUCUCGGUGUAGAGGUGAAAUUCGUAGAUAUUCGCAAGAACACCAGUGGCGAAGGCGGCUCACUGGUCCGGUACUGACGCUGAGGUGCGAAAGCGUGGGGAGCAAACAGG
rnacentral:rRNA from 1 species